rnacentral:rRNA from 1 species
UACGUAGGGCGCGAGCGUUGUCCGGAAUUAUUGGGCGUAAAGGGCGCGUAGGCGGUGCGGUAAGUCACCUGUGAAAUCUCCUGGCUCAACUGGGAGCUUGCAGGCGAAACUGCCGUGCUGGAGUGUGGGAGAGGUGCGUGGAAUUCCUGGUGUAGCGGUGAAAUGCGUAGAUAUCAGGAGGAACACCUGUGGCGAAAGCGGCGCACUGGACCACAACUGACGCUGAGGCGCGAAAGCUAGGGGAGCAAACAGG